rnacentral:lncRNA from 1 species
AAUUAUUAUAGUAAUAUUAUAAUAUUAUAUUAUUAUAUAAUUAAUUAUGUAAUGAAUAAUAAGUUUAAUAGAUUUGGUAAGCUAUAAGUCUGAGUCUGAGGUUGAGGUGUCUUCAUUGGGAUCUAGUAGGAUGUCCUGAGGUAGCCGAGGUUUGAGUAUUAGAUUUAUGGAUCUCUUGCCGAUAUUGUAAUGACAGGCUCCGCCAACUUUGUGGAGUUUUCCGUGGAAAUUUUUUAAAUUGUUGUGUUAUUCAGAUAGAUAGGUGUGGUAGGCCUGUAUCGCUGUGUAGUUGUUUGUUUCUCAUAAACCAAGGCCCCUUUAGGGCUAUUCUCAGGAAUUUAUAUUGGAGGGUUUGUAAUUUUUUAAUUUUUGUUUUUGAGGCAGCUGCCCAUACUGGGCAUGCAUAGGUUACUAAUGGUCUUAUUGCUGUGUAAAUGAGUAGUGAGCAUUUCAUUUGUAUGGUAGAGCUAUGUUUAAUAGAGGGUACAGUAUUGUGUAUCCUCGGUUUAAUUUUUUGUUAAUGUGUAUUUUCCAGCUUAGUUUUUCAUCAAGGUGCAGGCCCAAAUAUUUUACUGAGUCGUCUUUGUUAUUCCAGUUGAUUUCUUUAUUGUUUAUUUGAAGUAGGGUCGGGUUUAUGUAUUUUCUAAGUGUAAAUAUUUUUGCUUCGCUUUUGGUUGGAUUUAGUGUUAGUUUCCAUUUUGAGAACCAGAGGACAUUGCUAGAUGGCAGUGUUGCGGUGUUGGUAUAUCGUGACAGUAGAUAUUGAAUAGAGAUGGUCCUAGCACAGAUCCCUGUGGAACUCCAGACAUUAUAUUAUGUAUUUGUGAUAUAUCUGUUCCUAUUCUGACAUGAAAUUUGCGAUUUUUUAUAAAUGACAAGAGUAUUGUUAAGGUAUAAAGGUAGGUUUAGGGGUUUUAUUUUUAAAAUAGGUCCAUGGUGCCAAACCUUAUCGAAUGAAAUGGUUUGAAACCAAAUUGAUGUAGUGGUAUAAUUUUUAGGAACGGUUUAAUUCUGUGCAGCAGAAUUCUUUCAAGGAGUUUUAAGAAAGUUGGGAGUAGACUUAUGGGUCUGUAACUUUUGGGUGAACUAUUUUGUUUUCCUGGUUUAUGUAUAGGAAUAAUGAUUGCAAUUUUCCAUGUGUCGGGAAAAUAGCCUAGUCUCAUGGAGGAGUUCAUGAGGCUAGUUAUGUAUAGUUAUGUAUGAUAGAGAUUUUGACGUGAGAUUUUUGAGUAUUUUAUUUGUUAUUAGAUCAUGACCCGGGCUUUUUUUAUUAGCUAGUUUAUUUAUUAUUAUCUGUAUUUCUUUAGGGUACAUGGGCUAAUGGGAUUGACUAUUGGUUGAUCUUCUACAUUUCUUUGUUCAAGGUUUACUACUUCAUUUUAGUUUGUAUGGUUUUCAUCAGUUGUGAAACAGCUUUCAAAAUGUUGGGCAAAGAUUUCACAUUUUUCAAUGUUAGUUUCUGAAGUUCUGACAAUUAAUUUAUUAACUUUUGUAAAGUUCAAUAUUUUUGAGGUUUAUUUACUUAAUAAAUUACUAGAACUUUGCACUGC